GUUGGCCCAGUGGUUAGAGCUUCCGCCUCAGAUGUGGGAGGUCGUGGGUUAGAUCUCCGGUCGAGUCA